CUGACCUCAAAUCAGGUAGGACUACCCGCUGAACUUAAGCAUAUCAAUAAGCGGAGGAAAAGAAACUAACAAGGAUUCCCCUAGUAACUGCGAGUGAAGCGGGAAAAGCUCAAAUUUAAAAUCUGGCGGUCUUUGGCCGUCCGAGUUGUAGUCUGGAGAAGUGCUUUCCGCGCUGGACCGUGUAUAAGUCUCUUGGAACAGAGCGUCAUAGAGGGUGAGAAUCCCGUCUUUGACACGGACUACCAGUGCUUUGUGAUGCGCUCUCAAAGAGUCGAGUUGUUUGGGAAUGCAGCUCAAAAUGGGUGGUGAAUUCCAUCUAAAGCUAAAUAUUGGCGAGAGACCGAUAGCGAACAAGUACCGUGAGGGAAAGAUGAAAAGCACUUUGGAAAGAGAGUUAAACAGUACGUGAAAUUGCUGAAAGGGAAACGCUUGAAGUCAGUCGCGUUGUCCGGAACUCAGCCUUGCUUUUGCUUGGUGCACUUUCCGGAUGACGGGUCAGCAUCGAUUUUGACCGUCGGAAAAGGGCUGGAGUAAUGUGGCACCUCCGGGUGUGUUAUAGACUCUGGUCGCAUACGGCGGUUGGGAUCGAGGAACGCAGCG
rnacentral:rRNA from 1 species